UAAAUAGUCGGCACUCGGCAGCAAACUAACCACUAAAGUACAGACAGCGUGUUAAACUGUGUGUAAAAAUUGCGAAAACAUGAUUUAACUUCCCAUUAAGGCGCUUUUAAUUCGAGCUUUUAGCGCUUAGAAAUCCAGCAACUACACACGCAGUUGUUUCGGUUUGUACAGAAGUGCAGGAGAAGGAAGAAAAAGGCACAAGGAGAACAUGCAGACUCCAAACAUAAAGGAUCCAAUCCGCUCUACCUGGGACGUGAAGGUGUGAGGAGACACUGCUACGCACCGAGGCACCAUUCUGCCCUACAGGCUAGAUUUAAACUUGCAUCCAAUUUCUUCCCGUCAAUCAUCCUCUCACUAAUGCUGGUCCCUGCUCCUGAUUGUGGAGGACGAGGCUGCUCCACGCCCCCCUCCGACACGUGCACAGCAAUCGAACAUCUUAUCACCAACACUUGACGAGUGCAGUGCAGUACAGCGCUGUGUACGGAGAGCCACACCCUCUACCGCACUCCUUUCCCAUCUCUGUGCAUGCACCACCAACCAGCCGGCAGAGGUCGUAAUCGCACUAGUCUGAGAGAGAGUCCCCAUCCGGCUUUAUCCCGCCCCUAUCUCAACAACAGGCCAAUUGUUGUUCAUGUGGCCGCUCAGCCUCAGCCGGCAGGCAGAGCCGAUGUUCAAUACGAUGUAUUGGAGAUGUCAGCUCUGGUGAACAGCAUGUGUUUUUACCACUGCGCCACCUGAGCGGCCACCAUGUUAUCUUUAUCAUACCAAUUGUGGGUCUGAAUACGUCCCGGUCACAGUGUCAGUCCAUUACAGUAUCAGUCCAUUGCAGCGAUUAUAUAUUAAAAUUUGAUGCAUUAAUAAACUGUAAAUUGUCAUUUCAAGUUUCCUAUUGGUUGCUUAGGUAUUUAGAGAGCGCUACAGUGAAUCUGGUCAGCAUACAGCACAUUUUUUAAGCUGGGUGCCCUUCCUGCCACAAGAAGAGUGCAUCGACCCAAUGGCUUUUUUGACACAAUCACGUAAAAAUGAAUAAAAUUAUGUUUUCUACUCAUUGUGAUGUCACA